rnacentral:rRNA from 1 species
UAAACGACUCUCGGCAACGGAUAUCUCGGCUCUCGCAUCGAUGAAGAACGUAGCGAAAUGCGAUACUUGGUGUGAAUUGCAGAAUCCCGUGAACCAUCGAGUCUUUGAACGCAAGUUGCGCCCGAGGCUUUUAGCUGAGGGCACGUCUGCCUGGGCGUCACGC